rnacentral:rRNA from 1 species
UACGUAGGGGGCGAGCGUUGUCCGGAAUUAUUGGGCGUAAAGGGCGCGUAGGCGGCUUAUCAAGUCUGAUGUGAAAGUGCGGGGCUUAACCCCGUAAAGCAUUGGAAACUGGUAAGCUUGAGGGCAGGAGAGGAAAGUGGAAUUCCUAGUGUAGCGGUGAAAUGCGUAGAGAUUAGGAGGAACACCAGUGGCGAAGGCGGCUCACUGGACCGGUACUGACGCUGAUGCGCGAAAGCGUGGGGAGCAAACAGGG